GCCAAUCAGAAUUCUUCCUCUUAUCAGCGGGGCCACAUGGGAUUGACUACUGAAGCAAGAGUGAGUUUGGAGUGAGAUUGAAGCUCAAGGCUUCAGCUGCUGCCUUCUAGUUGACCCCAGCUCCUCCUGAAGUUGGUGAAUGGUUGCCUUCCGAUUUCCAUGUUCCUGCUACUAACUAUUAUUCUAUUUAUUUGCAAGAAUUAAAACAAGAAGAGGAGAGACACAGAAAACGAUUCUACCUACUGAUUCACUAUUCCAAAUGGCCACAAUGUCCAACACAGGAUUAGGUCACAACCAGGAUUCUUCUGUGACACAUCCAACUCUGCCACAUGGAUGGUAUUACCUCAAGGAAGCUUCCGCUCCUGGUCUCUUCCUACAGCAGCAGGACUGAGUCUCUGUUAUUAAUAGGCCAGCCAAGGGUGCUGGAGUCUCCUUCUACUUACA